rnacentral:rRNA from 1 species
UGGAACGAAAGUCUGACCGAGCAACGCCGCGUGAGUGAAAGUAAGGUUUUCGGAUACGUAAAACUCUGUUGGUAGAGAAGAACGUUGGUGAGAGUGGAAAGCUCAUCAAGUGACGGUAACUACCCAGAAAGGGACGGCUAACUACGUGCC